UACGUAGGGGGCAAGCGUUGUCCGGAUUUAUUGGGCGUAAAGAGCGUGUAGGCGGCCUGACAGGUCAGCUGUGAAAACUCGAGGCUCAACCUCGAGACGUCGGUUGAAACCGUCUGGCUAGAGUCCGGAAGAGGAGAGUGGAAUUCCCGGUGUAGCGGUGAAAUGCGCAGAUAUCGGGAAGAACACCCGUGGCGAGGGCGGCUCUCUGGGACGGUACUGACGCUGAGACGCGAAAGCGUGGGGAGCGAACAGG
rnacentral:rRNA from 1 species